CGGGGAGUAGCCCAGCCCGGUAGGGCACCAGCAUGGGGUGCUGGUGGUCGUGGGUUCAAAUCCCACCUCCCCGACCA
rnacentral:tRNA from 1 species